rnacentral:tRNA from 1 species
GUGUCUAUAGCUCAAUUGGAUAGAGCAAUGCCCUUCUAAGGCACAGGUUAUAGGUUCAAGUCCUAUUAGACGCA